AAUUACAGCUGACAGAGUGGUGUGAAGUAAAAGUUUGGCUGCAGUGCUGCUUCACAGUGACCUGAUGGGAUGUGGUGCGUUGGCCGUUCUCAUUCUCACGGCUUUCUGUAAAUGAUGUACCAGGGAAGUGUUGGUGCUAAUGGUCUCUACAGCACAGCUCCAGUACUGACUGUGUUUAGAGAAGACAUUUUCUGUGGCUACACCAAGAGUUUGAUUCAAAUGACAUAAUUUAAAGGUAAUGUUGCUAAACAUUAACAAAGUGUAUGGAAACAUUAGAACCUGAUAAAUGUAAUAAACUAAAUGAAAGCUGAAAUUAAAAAGAAGUAGAAAGUAGCAGGAAUGUCUGCAUAAGUUCUCAUUUGCCCAGGUCAUUGUUCUUCUAGGUUCAACUGGACUCGUUUCACUCCUUUGAAAAUAUUUCGUCUCUCAUCCAAUAGACUUCUUCAGUUCUAAUAGCUGGUGGGGGUAAUUGGACUCAUACAGUGGGUACAGAAAGUAUUCAGACCCCCUUAAAUUUUUCAGUCUUUGUUAUAUUGCAGCCAUUUGCUAAAAUCAUUUAAGUUCUUUUUUCCCCCAGCGUACGCACAGCACCCCGUUUUGACAGAAAAAACAGAAUUGUACACAUUUUUGCAUUGUAGCUAAUACAGCCAUGAGUCUUCUUGGGAAAGAUGCAACAAGUUUUUCACACCUGGAUUUGGGGAUCCUCUGCCAUUCCUCCUUGCAGAUCCUCUCCAGGUCUGUCAGGUUGGAUGGUGAAUGUUGAACAAGCGAAACAUUUAAGGGGGUCUGAAUACUUUCUGUACCCAGUGUAAACCUGUGAGGUGAGUGGUCUGUGUAGGUGUUAUUCCAUAUGCUAAUGAACUUCAUUAAGAUAUGGAAUAACAUGAAAUGAAACGUUUCCAAAAGGCAGAAACAUGUCUAGUUUUACCUAGAAGAACUACUAAAUAUGGGAAUAUGUACUGAAUUUUUUUUUUUUUCUAAAAUGUCAAACGUUUUAGAAUUUGUGAAUUUAGAUACAUAAGACCAAGUCCACAGGAUUACAUCUUUAUUUUAAAAUGCAUAACUUUAAAUUAGCAUCCAAACUGCAUCCAAAAAUGACUUUUGAAAAUUGUUUUAGUUUGUAAAAUGCAGUGUGUUGCUGUAAUGCGAAUAGAUAAAAACUCACUUAGAUUCUGAAUGGUUCUAAUCACUACAUAUCCCUCCCUUAUUUAUCAUGCUCCCUCUCACACAACCUUUCAGUCGAAAAACAUGUUGCCCUUAACUACCAGCUGUCUGUUCAAUGAGGAUACUGAAUUACAUGCAGUUCUUUUGUUGUCGUCUGUUAGCAGCUGUUACGCAGUUAAAUUCUGCUUUUUAUCAUGAUACUGACUACAUUUACUACAGGUGACCUGGUAUUUGUGCAAUCCAGCUUCAUUCUCAGUUCCCUGUUCAUGUAAUGUGUAGGUCAGAUAUGUUGAAAUGGCCAGAGAUUAAUUCUGAUACUGCAACUCUUUCUACAUUAUAAAAAAGUAGUAUUAUAAAUGUAAGCCUCCCAAUCCAAACUGUGUUGUUCCGUACUCUGUGUCUGAUCGUGUUUUGUGUCCCACAUUAAAGUUUCCCUCUUUAUGUUGUUUAAAA